rnacentral:misc_RNA from 1 species
GUCCACCAGUGUCCGGCAAACCCAAGACAUUUGCUUGACCAAAGUAUCCAUGAGGAGAUAAUAUGACAACAUUAAACACCAUUGGUAAUCUACCAAGAAAAGUCUCUAAGGUUGAGGGAUCAGGAGCCUGAAGAAUGUCAGAAAGCAGAUGCAUAGUCUCCAAAACACGAUUUGCAGUAUCACCCCAACCUUUCUCAAAGCCCAUUUCCUGCAAUGCAUAUUCAAAGUCAGUAUAGGGUGUAUCUGGUGGUAGCUUUGAGAGAUAAUCAUCUGCCUUAUUAAGAGACGACUCCAGCCUGGAGAUUCGCUGUAUACGUUCAUUCAACAUCAAGACAUUCCCUUUAUGAUUGUGUCCUCUAAGGAAAUCAAGUAAUGGGUCGAGGGAUUCGUUGCUGCGAAACAUAUUUGAGGACAAAUGACGAUUGAGGAAUUGUACUCCAUUUCCAAUGGAUGAAGAGCGUGAGGGACGAGGAACUGAUGCAUUAAAUGGCUCAAAAUCCAGCUCAAGCACAAAAAGAUGAUUAUGAUCCUCUCCAUCGACAAGUUCUUCUUUGAAACGGAGAUAUUCAGGAACCGUCAAUUGUUCAACGCUCAGAUCAUAUACGUUCACACGAACAUAUUCCCAAACACCUGGCCUUGGACGAACUGCUAUAGCAACAAAUGGUGGGAGCACAAUGGCUUCCUGAGUAGAUUUCAAGAUUUCACAAAAGGGGCCUUCUUUCAGCUUUUCACAAGCAGUGUCAUCACAUACAGCAUUAUUCAGCUCAUCAAUUAAAUGAUGAGGCUGCAAUAUCCCCUUCCCCUGCGCCACAUAUCUGGAUAGGAGAGCCACUAGCUGAUUACGGUGAGCAGAGAGAGUAUCCUCAACUCUCUCUCUCAUACUAGGUAUUCUUGACAACUUUGGAUUCGACAUUUUCCAAUUACAACAACA